UUGAACGCUGGCGGCAUGCUUUACACAUGCAAGUCGAACGGCAGCGGGGGCUUCGGCCUGCCGGCGAGUGGCGAACGGGUGAGUAAUGCAUCGGAACGUACCCAGUCGUGGGGGAUAACUACGCGAAAGCGUAGCUAAUACCGCAUACGCCCUGAGGGGGAAAGCGGGGGAUCGCAAGACCUCGCGCGAUAGGAGCGGCCGAUAUCGGAUUAGCUUGUUGGUGAGGUAAAGGCUCACCAAGGCGACGAUCCGUAGCUGGUCUGAGAGGACGACCAGCCACACUGGAACUGAGACACGGUCCAGACUCCUACGGGAGGCAGCAGUGGGGAAUUUUGGACAAUGGGGGCAACCCUGAUCCAGCCAUUCCGCGUGAGUGAAGAAGGCCUUCGGGUUGUAAAGCUCUUUCAGCCGGAAAGAAAUCGCGCAGGCUAAUACUCUGCGUGGAUGACGGUACCGGAAGAAGAAGCACCGGCUAACUACGU
rnacentral:rRNA from 1 species